rnacentral:SRP_RNA from 1 species
GCUGGGCACGGUGGCACAUGCCUGUAGUCCCAGCUGCUCAGGAGGCUGAGGUGGGAGGAUCACUUGAGCCCAGGAGUUCUGGGCUGUAGUGCGCUAUGCCGAUCAGGUGUCCACACUUUCAGCAUCAAUAUGGUGACCUCCCGGGAGCAGGGGACCACCAGGUUGCCUAAGGAGGGGUGGACCGGCCCAGGUUGGAAAUGGAGCAGGUCAAAACUUCCGUGCAGAUCAGUAGUGGGAUCGCGCCUGUGAAUAGCCACUGCACUCCAGCUUGGGCAACAUGGCGAGAUCUCAUCUCU